CAGCAGCCGCGGGAAUACGGAGGGUGCAAGCGUUAAUCGGAAUUACUGGGCGUAAAGCGCACGCAGGCGGUUUGUUAAGUCAGAUGUGAAAUCCCCGAGCUUAACUUGGGAACUGCAUUUGAAACUGGCAAGCUAGAGUCUUGUAGAGGGGGGUAGAAUUCCAGGUGUAGCGGUGAAAUGCGUAGAGAUCUGGAGGAGUACCGGUGGCGAAGGCGGCCAUCUGGGACAACACUGACGCUGAAGCACGAAGGCGUGGGGAGCAAACAGGAUUAGAUACCCGAGUAGUCCCUGUCUCUUAUAC
rnacentral:rRNA from 1 species